GGGCCCGUCGUCUAGUGGCUAGGAUAAGAUAAGCCUCCUGAGCCCGCCAAAUCCCGGGUUCGAAUCCCGGCGGGCCCACCA
rnacentral:tRNA from 2 species